rnacentral:rRNA from 1 species
GAUGAACGCUGGCGGCGUGCCUAAUACAUGCAAGUCGAGCGAACAGAUAAGGAGCUUGCUCCUUUGACGUUAGCGGCGGACGGGUGAGUAACACGUGGGUAACCUACCUAUAAGACUGGGAUAACUUCGGGAAACCGGAGCUAAUACCGGAUAACAUUUGGAACCGCAGGGUUCUAAAGUGAAAGAUGGUUUUGCUAUCACUUAUAGAUGGACCCGCGCCGUAUUAGCUAGUUGGUAAGGUAACGGCUUACCAAGGCGACGAUACGUAGCCGACCUGAGAGGGUGAUCGGCCACACUGGAACUGAGACACGGUCCAGACUCCUACGGGAGGCAGCAGUAGGGAAUCUUCCGCAAUGGGCGAAAGCCUGACGGAGCAACGCCGCGUGAGUGAUGAAGGGUUUCGGCUCGUAAAACUCUGUUAUUAGGGAAGAACAAAUGUGUAAGUAACUGUGCACGUCUUGACGGUACCUAAUCAGAAAGCCACGGCUAACUACGUG